UACGUAGGGCGCGAGCGUUUGUCCGGAAUUAUUGGGCGUAAAGAGCUCGUAGGCGGCCUGUCGCGUCGGUUGUGAAAGCCCGGGGCUCAACCCCGGGUCUGCAGUCGAUACGGGCAGGCUAGAGUUCGGUAGGGGAGAUCGGAAUUCCUGGUGUAGCGGUGAAAUGACGCAGAUAUCAGGAGGAACACCGGUGGCGAAGGCGGAUCUCUGGGCCGACACUGACGCUGAGGAGCGAAAGCGUGGGGAGCGAACAGG
rnacentral:rRNA from 1 species